rnacentral:misc_RNA from 1 species
GACAGAGGGUGCAAACGUUGCUCGGAAUCACUGGGCGUAAAGCGCGUGUAGGCGGGCAGGGAAGUCAGAUGUGAAAGCCCUGGGCUCAACCCAGGAACUGCAUUUGAAACUCCUUGCCUAGAGUGGUGGAGAGGGAAGUGGAAUUCCUGGUGUAGAGGUGAAAUUCGUAGAUAUCAGGAGGAACACCAGUGGCGAAGGCGGCUUCCUGGACACCAACUGACGCUGAGACGCGAAAGCGUGGGGAGCAAACAGG